GAUGAACGCUAGCUACAGGCUUAACACAUGCAAGUCGAGGGGAAACGACAUCGAAAGCUUGCUUUUGAUGGGCGUCGACCGGCGCACGGGUGAGUAACGCGUAUCCAACCUGCCCAUCACUUGGGGAUAACCUUGCGAAAGUAAGACUAAUACCCAAUGAUAUCUCUAGAAGACAUCUGAAAGAGAUUAAAGAUUUAUCGGUGAUGGAUGGGGAUGCGUCUGAUUAGCUUGUUGGCGGGGUAACGGCCCACCAAGGCAACGAUCAGUAGGGGUUCUGAGAGGAAGGUCCCCCACAUUGGAACUGAGACACGGUCCAAACUCCCACGGGAGGCAGCAGUGAGGAAUAUUGGUCAAUGGGCGAGAGCCUGAACCAGCCAAGUAGCGUGCAGGAAGACGGCCCUAUGGGUUGUAAACUGCUUUUAUAAGGGAAUAAAGUGAGAGUCGUGACUCUUUUUGUAUGUACCUUAUGAAUAAGGACCGGCUAAUUCCGUG
rnacentral:rRNA from 1 species